GGGGCCAAGGACCGCUGGCUGACCACAGCACCUCCCCUCAGGAUCGUGUGUGUCACAGGGCCAGCCCCAGGACCGCUCUCAGGUGUGGUGACCGUGAACGCCUCUAAGGAGGGCAAGUCCCGGGACCGCUUCUCCUACGUGGUAAGGGGGGCUGCAGCCCACUGUCCGGCCCGCCCAGCACGCACACUCCCGGGGGCUGGCCCGAGGCCCAAACGCCUGCCUUCCUCCCACAGCUGCCCCUGGUCCACUCCCUGGAGCCUACCAUGGGCCCCAAGGCCGGGGGCACCAGGAUCACCAUCCAUGGGAAUGACCUCCAUGUAGGCUCCGAGCUCCAGGUCCUGGUGAACGACACAGACCCCUGCACGGAGCUGAUGCGCACAGAUACCAGCAUCGCCUGCACCAUGCCUGAGGGGGCCCUGCCGGCUCCGGUGCCUGUGUGUGUGCGCUUCGAGCGUCGGGGCUGCGUGCACGGCAACCUCACCUUCUGGUACAUGCAGAACCCGGUCAUCAUGGCCAUCAGUCCCCGCCGCAGCCCUGUCAGGUGAGACUGGCACCCCGCCCUUCCCCCAGGCUCUCUGGGGCUGCAGGUGGACUGAUAGGUUUUGCUGUCCCCCGCAGUGGCGGCAGGACCAUCACAGUGGCUGGUGAGCGUUUCCACAUGGUGCAGAAUGUGUCCAU
rnacentral:sRNA from 1 species